UUUCGCCAUUGACGUUAUACUUACUUUGUGUAUACAUUAUUGAUUAUUUCGUUUUUGGUAUCAUAUUAAGUUGAUUUCACAGUCGUCGUUCACGAAUCUCUUUACGAUUGACGAAAUAUCCAAUAUUUAACCGCGUAUCUACCUAUCAUUUUAAAGGCGUACAGAGUGUGACCUGUUAAUAGUGAUAACUAUAUAUACAGAGCAGCAUACUGGAUUAAAAUAGAGGAAUCGUCCAUUGAAAGGAUUCAUACGUGCAUACGUGAGUAAGAAAUACAACAGCAAUUACUACGGGGUCAGUGGAGGAAUAUGGGGAUAUUAAUUUUGAUGAUACCAAUUUAAAUGAAGUAAAUUCAGAGCAAGGGAAUAUAGUAAAUGUGGCUGAACAUGUAGAUAGAUGCACUGAAAAUGAGUAUUCGAGUUUUGCAGAAAUGCAGUCAUCAUCUAUAAACAAUUCAACAUCAAAUGUAUGUGUAAACUACAUGAAUUUAAGACCAACCGAGAUCUCAGUACAAAAUUCCUGUAGUAUUAAUAAUUCAAUAAAAUUAGUAAAGACUGUAUCAAACAAUUCAUCACAAGAAUGUUAUUCAACUAGUAAAUCGAAUAGUACAAUAUUUUUACAAAAAUUCAAACCAUUCAAGUGUGUAGAUUGCAUAUUUUCCACAAAGUCUGAAACUAAAUUUAUAAAUCAUAGUUAUGUUUGUAAGAGCAACUCACUGAGUAGUUCUAAUCUCCAUCAAUCUAAAUGUAUACAGAAUCCAAGUUUAAUCAAAAA